rnacentral:rRNA from 1 species
UCCGUAGGUGGAUUGGUAAGUCAGAGGUGAAAGCCUGCAGCUCAACUGUAGAACUGCCUUUGAUACUGCUAGUCUUGAGUCGUUGUGAAGUGGUUAGAAUAUGUAGUGUAGCGGUGAAAUGCAUAGAUAUUACAUAGAAUACCGAUUGCGAAGGCAGAUCACUAACAACGUACUGACACUGAUGGACGAAAGCGGUGGGGAGCGAACA